CACCUCUUGGUGAAAAUUAAGCCGAAAAGAGCAAGGUUUAGUAGCAUAGUCGAAAUACCUUGAGGCUAAUAAGAAA
rnacentral:sRNA from 12 species